UCUCUCACGUCUCUACAUAUGUAGAGAACCGGAUGACAGUGACAAAUUAAACGCGAAUCGUAGAAGGCAGAAAUUCGCGGGAAGUGCUCUCUAAGUAUUGCUUUGUCCUUUCCCAAUCGCGAAAAUAGCGCCGAUGAUUUGCCAAGCACUACAUUCACAACAUUCGCAACAAUGGCAACACAGAGGAUUGUCGAGAUAUAUUCGAAACGGAGAAAUUCUGUGGACGAGGAGGAAGGAUUAAUCGAUGUAACGUCCCGUUACAUAUAUGAAACGGGGAGAAGAAUGAAGAGAAGAAAAAGAGAGUCGUCUGAGAAUAUAAUUUUCAAAACUCACGAAAAUCAAGAACAAUCUGGAAUGAGGCAAAGUAAUAAAAUAAAUUAUACUCUAAUAGAUGAAAUGAAGAGAACAAUAAAGGAGAGAAAAUGGAAAGUUAUCUGAUUGUGAGAAUAUAAUUUUCAAAACACACGAAAGUUAAAAACAAUUUGAAACAAUUAUGGCAAAUUAAUACA